GACGAACGCUGGCGGCGUGCUUAACACAUGCAAGUCAUGGGGGUCCGCAAGGACAACCGGCGAACGGGUGCGUAACACGUGAGCGACCUGCCUGAGUGCGGGGGAGUAGCCGGCCCAACGGCCGGGUAAUACCGCAUACGCUUUUUCGAGGGCAUCCUUGGGAAAGGAAACCUCCGGGGCGACUCAGAGGGGCUCGCGGCCUAUCAGCUAGUUGGCGGGGUAAUGGCCCACCAAGGCGACGACGGGUAGCUGGUCUGAGAGGAUGGCCAGCCACAUUGGGACUGAGAGACGGCCCAGACUCCUACGGGAGGCAGCAGUGGGGAAGUCUUGCGCAAUGGCCGAAAGGCUGACGCAGCGACGCCGCGUGUGGGAGGAAGCUCUUCGGGUGUAAACCACUGUUGCCCGGGACGAAAAGCGAGUUUCGACUCGCCUGACGGUACCGGGUGAGGAAGCACCGGCUAACUCUGUGCCAGCCGCCGCAG
rnacentral:rRNA from 1 species